CUCUGUGGCCAUUCCACCCUGAACAACCAGAUCUCAGGCUUGGAAGCUAAGCAGGGCCAGACCCGGUUAAUACUUGGAUGGGAGAAAACCAUGAAACAGAAGCCAGAAGACACACAGA
rnacentral:rRNA from 1 species